UGACAGUAGCAUCUCCAGCUCGGAGACAAGCCUCCUCUCUUUCUCAUUCAACUAUGUGAUCUGUUUUUCCACACACACGGACCCUGUCUCCUCUCCUUUUAUCCCCCUCUCCUCCUCGGCACACUCAAUGCGCAGCUCCCUCUCUCGCAAAGAAACCGCAUUUGUUCGGCGAAGUUACUUUCUUAAGAAUAGUUGACUUUGAAGUUUACUUUUUGUUCAAAUUGUCGGACAUGACGACCAUGGCAACUCCGGCUGCUCCGGCUCUGCUCCCCGCCGCUACACUCGGGCACCACCCGAGUUCCGUCUCCCCGGCCACCAACUCUCCGCCACCUGCGGCCACCUCCGCCGCUUCCUCCCCGGCUCCUCCGGUGGCGCACCCGGCGCUGCUUCACCAGUUCAGAGCGGACAUCUUACUAGCGAACGGGACCCAGCUAAAAACCGGAGGAGCUCCGGUGUCCAGCAGCGCUAAGCCAGUCUACGCCACCCCGUCGCCCGUAGAGAGCACGCCGCAGAACAACGAGUGUAAACUGGUGGAGGUGAAAGGUGCCAAGCUGGCCUCGUUCACGGUGAAAGACACGGAGCUCAUCUGCCUGCCCCAGGCUUUCGACGUGUUUCUCAAGCACCUGGUCGGCGGGCUCCACACCGUCUACACCAAGCUGAAACGGCUGGACAUUGCCCCGGUGGUGUGCAACGUGGAGCAGGUCCGGGUGCUGCGGGGGCUUGGGGCCAUCCAGCCCGGGGUGAACCGGUGCAAACUCAUCUCCAGGCAGGACUUCGAGACGCUCUACAACGACUGUACCAACGCAAGUUCGAGGCCGGGACGACCGCCCAAGAGGCUGCAGAGUGUGACAGAGGGCGGGACUCACCACAUGCUGUCCCACAGCGGUCUGAUGCAUGCUGGGAUCCUACCUCCUGCAGGUGACCACCCAGGACUCACCACGCACAUACAGUACAUACAUCUGUCUGCCCUGGCCAAGAAGAUCAAGCUGGAUGCGAUGGCCAGUUACCACAGUAACCAACAACACGGCGGGCCAAACGGAGAGAACGGUGACCAUAACCACGCACUGGUUCUGGAUCAGUUGCCCUUCAUGAUGAUGUCACAUCCUCUGAUACCUGCCAGCCUGGCGCCGGCCUCCGUUUCCAUGGCGAUGGGCCAGAUGAACCGACUGAGCACGCUGGCCAGCAUGGCCAACAUGGCGCAGCUCCACGCCAAGCCCCCUGCCAGGGCUCCCACCUCCGUCAUUAAGGAGCGAGUGUGUGACAGCCCCUCCCCUUCUCCCUCAUUGGAGGAAGCUCAGAUGUCAUCCAAUCACAGCAGCAGCGUGUCAAGUUCACCGUCUCACACAGAACGCACUGCAGAAACCACACACCCACACGAUGACGGCCUGUCAUCAAGUCACAAUGUGUUGGGGCACUCACCUGGUGUGGUGCACGGGGCCAGAGAGACCGAUGGGACCUCAGUGGAGUACAGCAAGGAGAACAAGAGGGGCCACACUGACAGAAAUAACAGCUCCUUGGCCACUCAGACAUCCAGGGAGAGCUGUGAUAGACAAGUCUACCAGAAACCCCCGUCAGGCUGCGAGAGGGUAACUUACCCCGCAGGACACAAGCUCACAGCAGGUCUCCACCACACUCCCUUCAUCUUCCCGGAAGGCUUGUCCUCCAUAGAGACCCUGCUCACGAACAUCCAGCAGGGUCUACUGAGGGUUGCCAUAGAGAACGCCCGGGCGCAGGAGAAGCAGGACCAGAUGGAGCGGACGGAGCUGAAGAUGGAGCUGGUCCGAGAGAGAGAGCUCAGAGAGACCUUGGAGAGACAGCUCAGCAUGGAGCAGAAAAACAGAGUUUGAUCCAGAAGCGCCUGAAGAAGGAGAAGAGGAGUAAGAGGAGACUACAGGAGGCUUUGGAGGAGGAGGUGUUAAAACUGCGUGACCAGGCAGAGCACACCCUGCUGCACACCGCCAACACACACACAGGCCAUCAAUCAUCAGCGGCCCCUCCUCACACAGAAUCUGUGACCCAGGACGUGGAUGGGAGCAAUCACGAUGACAACAGGCCGGACACCAAGGCAACAGUACAAGAGGGCAGAGUGUUCCUGCAGACCAGCGGGAUGUACUGAAGACGAGGACGGACGGAUGAAUGGAUAAGAUGAAUGGAAGAAUAGAGUGAUGAAGAUUCCUCAGUUAUGAGAAAUACAAUCGACAGGCAUGCUCAGUCGCGCAGCGGCGUGGCAUCUGAGAUACACACAUCUCCGCGCGAGGACUCCCCUACAUUUCAAGGGUGACAUUUGAACUUUUCCAUUGUUCUCUUGUUUAAUUUAUUGCAUUUAUCAGCGACUCUCGGCCGUAGUGGGAACAGUACUUUAUUCUGAUGAUGUGUUUGACUGUGUUUCUUUCAAUCAAGGUUUUUAGAUCCUAGAUGAAGAUGACCAUAGUUGUUUUUUUGUCAGUGCUGUUUAUCUGGACACAAGUGAUGAAUAUAACUUGUAACAGAGUUGUGUACAUAUAUAUAGUCAUCAUUCUUUGUUACUAUUAUUAUUAUUAUUAUUAUCACAAAACAUAAAGGCAUGUUGUACAGUCAGUAAAUGACUUGUAUUGUGUAUGUUAUGCAGUAGUGCAGUUUGACAAUACAAACAAUACAAAUCCUUUUUAUUAAAUUGCGUCAGUGCUUCUUUCUUUAUUCCACA